rnacentral:rRNA from 1 species
CCCGCACAAGCGGUGGAGCAUGUGGUUUAAUUCGAUGCAACGCGAAGAACCUUACCUGGGCUUGACAUCCCUGGAAUCCCCUGGAAACAGGGGAGUGCCCUUCGGGGAGCCAGGAGACAGGUGCUGCAUGGCUGUCGUCAGCUCGUGUCGUGAGAUGUUGGGUUAAGUCCCGCAACGAGCGCAACCCUUGUCUUUAAUUGCCAUCAUUCAGUUGGGCACUUUAAAGAGACUGCCGGUGUUAAACCGGAGGAAGGUGGGGAUGACGUCAAGUCCUCAUGGCCUUUAUGCCCAGGGCUACACACGUGCUACAAUGGGUGGUACAAAGAGAUGCAAUCUCGCAAGAGCAAGCAAACCUCAAAAAGCCAUCCUCAGUUCGGAUUGGAGUCUGCAACUCGACUCCAUGAAGUUGGAUUCGCUAGUAAUCGCGCAUCAGCCAUGGCCGCGGUCGAAUACGUUCCGGGCCUU